AGGAGGAGCGUUUGCGGCCUCAGCGUCUGUCAACAGAACCCUCUUCACCCGUGGUUAAACCCUCCCUAACCCUGAGCUCGUGCUCCCCUCCCGGUGGACGCAGACCUGACCACAGAAGCCCUGCAGCACUCACUGGGGGCUUGAGGGAGCCCCUGAGUCCCCUCCACCCUCGCCGCCUUCUCCUGGGUACCCAGGAAACGUCUCCAAGGGAGGCUGUGACCCAGGACCCCGCCUCGACCUCACCUUCUUCUGUAAGGCGCAGUGAAAGACGAAGAUGAAGACCCCCUGGAAGGCGUUGAAGGUGGUGAAGAGAUAGGCCAUGACCACCGACUCCUUGUUGAUGAAGAGGAGGCCGAAAGCCCAGGAAGAGCAGCUCAGCCAGGAAGAGGUUGAUGCACAGGUUCUUGUGGAUGGUGUUGCGGUCGGUCUGCAGCCCCCGCAGGAAGCAGAAGGUGGAGAUGCAGAUGGCCAAGCAGACCAGGGAGAUCACAAUGCCCACCCAGGUGAUGACCGACAGCAGCAGCUCGUUGAUGCGGCCCUGGUACUGGGGACAGGAACAGGGGGCACGCUCAGGGCCUUUGGUUUUGCACGCUGGGCUCAGCCAGGUGCCAGCCACAGACAGGGCCCUGGGCAAGGCCAUGGGCCGUGAGGACCUCUGGUGCCGCCAACCUGGCAGCCCUCACCCCUCUGCACGCAGCAAUGCGCUCACUUCCUCAUGCUCUGGAAGGCUUGUGGAGAGAUGACCAACGUAACACCAACUUGCUUCUCCAGAGUGCCUUGGGAGACGGUGGGAUCAUGGCCAUAGAGGACCAGACGCAUGGCCUCAUGCCCCAGGCAAGACCAGGGGCCCCCCACACCCAUGGGGCUAGCCUCCCCUGGUACUGCCCGUGAUCUCUCUAGGAUGCCAUGCAAAGCCAGGCCAGCAAUCGGGCCUGCCUGGAGGAGCAGAGCACCAGCCAGCUUACGAUCUCACGGUGAGCCAUGAGCACAGCGAAGUUGGUGAGGUGGCUGCAGGCACACGUGGUAUGGGUCUUGUUGGACUCCACCAGGCGGCAGCCUUGGGUCGACCAGUAGCCCAGCAUGGAACGCUCCGAGUAGUUCCAGAAGGAGCAGUUAGCAUUGAAGUGGUUCUUGUCCUGUUGUGUGGUGGCACCAGGGUGUCAUAACUAGAGUCAGAACCGGGGAGUCCCAUUCCGACCCCCCACACCUGGCAACAGGGAUGGUACCAAGUAUCAAAGAAGUGCCUGGGGUCUGGGGCUCCAGUUGACAUUCUGAGAGCUCUGGGGACAAAUGGCCCAAGCUCUAAAGUGGAAGAACCCAUAACUUGUUCUGGAGGUGAGCACAUGGAGGGGCAGGUACACAGCCUGGGAACACAGAGGGUACAGGGACCCCCAUGGAGGGAGGGGGACGGCUCAGCUCACCUCCAGGUGGGCCACGGUGAAGAUGACAGGGUCCAUGAGGAAGACGCGGCUGGACUCCUUGUUGAUGGAUGCUGCGAUGACCUGUGAGUUCACCACUAGAGAGGCGCCCCCAGGGCCACCCGGGCCUGCUUCGCCGGCCAGCUUCACUGUGGCAUUCUCCGUGGACAGGAAGAGGCCCAGGUUGUUGUAGAGGAUGAAGACAACUUUGACCACCCCUGGUGAGAACAGGCACGUUUGGAUGUGUCAGCAUCCUCAGCUGGCGCACCUCCAUCCAGGCCCCUGGCUUCCCAGCUCAGCCAGCUCCUCAGCCCUUGGCCACGCUGGCCACUGGGACCUCUGAAGCCAGUCCAUAGCCCAGGCAGGUGGGGGUCAGGGAGCCCUGUCCACAAGACCACUGCUCAGCUGAAGGCAGUUCUAAACAGCAGGGCAGUGUGCCAGGACACACAAGCUGGGCCUCCGACCCACCCAUUCUCACUGUGUGACCUUGGGCAAGCCCCUGACCUCUCUGAGCCUUCAUCUCAAUGGCCCCAUCCUCUCUGAGCUGUGAGGCCCAGGAGCCAGCUUUGCAACUGUAAGGCUCACCCUUAGGGCUCUGCAGCACUUCAGGGCCCAUGAAUCCCCUCAAAUUUUACACUAGCAUGAGAAAAGGUCAGCACCGCUGCCCUCUACAAAUGGCACAGAGACGCUGGCACAGAGCUGGGGGGUGGGGGUGGGGCUGCUUCCCCACCCGAGGCCCCGCCGGGGACACUGACCAUUGCGGCUGUUCUGCUUGAUGGUUUUGGCAGACAGCUGGAUGGAGUUCUUUCUCGGGUACUCCUCCUGGGGGAACACCAGCUCCUGCACCUGGCCCUCUGUGUUCAGGACUGUGACCUCCAGGACUGUGGGGACAGGGGAAGGCAAGGCAUACACAGUUGGGGUCUGUUCCCAGUCCAGGGGCUCAGGCUGCAGAACGAGACUCUGGCAAGAUGCCCAAGGGUCGGAUAGCCCCCCUGUGGCCUCCAGGCCAGAACCCCGUGGUUUAAGGUUCGUAUCUGAGUUUGCCCUGGGUGACUGUGGCACUCACCCACGUUCUCCUUGGCAGCCAGGAAGCGGGCAGGCUCCCUGACAUUGUCGGCCAGCAGGAAGGCGCCCUCCUCCAGGACGUCGAGGAGCAUGGUGGCCGUGUGCACCUGCUCCGUGGCAUUCAUGUCCUUCCAGGACUCCAGAGCUUCUGGCCGGAGCAGAUUGUCCACUGUCUCCACCACGGCCUGCACAGGCAGAGGGCAUGGUGCUGUGAGCCCCCCAACACCCUCUAAUUCCUGGGGGUGGGCUCUGCAUGCCCUCUUCUCAACCUCCACCCCUAAUCCCCCCAUCAGCUGGAGCCCACGGUCCUUACACUGGGACCCCCUGGGUCUCACCUUGAUAUAAUCCUUACAAGUUCUCUCUCGCUUGUGCAUCUAGAAAGAGAUGGAGGUGAUGUCAGGCCAGGCCUCUGGGUGCCGGUUCCCUCACCCUAAUACUGUCACAUCUGGAUAGCUCUCUCGUCUGCGGUUACCACUGACCCAGGGCUGGGCUAUCAGCAAGACAUUCCUCAGGGAUCCCCAACCCCCAGGACCAUCCGGGGCAGCACAGGAGUGAGACCCGGCAGUCCUUGGCGGAGAGGGGGGGGUCCUUCCUCUCUGAGGAAAGGAGUGGAGGUGGCAGCCUGGCUGGGAGGUACCAGGUCAGGUACUUCCCAAGCCCCUGGGGGCAGGCGCCCUCCCCAUACCAGGUCAGCGCCACCGCCAGGCCCCACCUUGUUGUAGUUCUUGCCGGCUGACUCGCGCUCGAUGGGCCGCAGGGCCUGCAGCUGGGCAUCCAGGAUGUCCAGCAGCUGCUCCAUCAGCUUCACAGAGGAGGAGACGUCCCCCGCGUAGAUGGAGCCCCGGGUGUGUCGGGCCAGCUCGCUGGCGAUGUUGGCCGCGUUCUCCCCACUCUUGAUCUGCAUGAGGUGGGGGCGGGAAGGGGGAAUCCCAGGACUGUCAGGGACCAUCCUGCCCUCCCCGGCUUCCCUGGCCUGUGCAGCCUCUCCUAUCUCUCUCUCCACUUCCCCAUCGCCAUCUGCCCCUUCCCACCCCAUCUGUCCCUGCUCCCUUUGUAGGCCAGGGAGGUGACCCCACAGUCCUGCCUUCCAGACCUGCCAGCCCAUGUCUCCCCAGCUGCUCCACGACCCCCGCUGGGCCCUGGGCCCUGGGCCCGAGCACAUGUGCCUGCCUGCGAGGGGUGGUGGCUGGUACCUUCUGGGCCACCUGGUUGACCCAGGGGGAGGUGCAGUUGCUGAGGUCAGGGCCCCGGGGGUUCCAGAGCCCCAAGGCUGGUAGACACUGGAAGGAGGCAAUUCCUGCAGGGACAGACAGACAGGAACAGACAAGGGAGCCAAAGGGAAGAAGAGAAGGAUGGGACAGAGAGGGGGAAAGGAGAUGACAGAGAGUGGGGGACGAGCGGGCGAAGAGGGAGGUGAGGGAAACACGGAGAAACAGACAUGAAGCGGGCUGGACAGUCGAAAGAGGCGCCACUCACUUCCCCUGAGCUCUCCCUCCUGCCCCCUUCUGUCUUUGCCUCCAGAGUUAGAACCUUCCAGCAAGGCCCAUCUUGAACGCCCCCUCUCCACGAAGCACCUGCCAACCCUCCCCUCAGAUCUCCAGGACACACGGCCCUGCCCUUUUUGCACUUCAGCUGGCCAUCCAUGUGAAGCUGACUGUGCCUGGGGCUGUGGCAGGUCAGCCUGAGGCCGGGAGCCAGGUCACCUCCUGCGGACUCCCUGCAGGUUCUGCAGGUGGGGCCAGGGGCACUGAGUGGCUCCUGUGCCCUGAGAGCUCUGCUGGUCACUGGGGAUGACCCCUGCCCUCAGAAAACCUCUGCUCCGCAGUAGAGACCCCCACCCACACAUGCAUCUGUGCUAAGCUGCUGGGGGCAUGGCCCCCAUCCCUCCCCUGGCUGCAGCCUCUGUACUCACCUCGAGUCCCCUUGGGGCAGGGCCUCUCCACCAGCAUGCCCUGCUGGGUGGCCGGCCACUGGACCCGCCGUACCUCUCGGGGCUCGCAGAAGAGCUCAGGGGACACGUGUAGAUUCGGGGCUGGGGGCCGCCGGGUGCUGGGGACUGGGGCUGUGGCUGGAGGCAGAUCAGGUCCCAGCUGGUUGAUGGCACCCACUGGGUGCGUGGUGAGGGGUGCCCGGCGGAGCGGGGUGGUGGCUGCGGGCGAGGCUGUGCUGGUGAGGGGCGUGGGCCUGGCUGUGGUGGUCGUGCUGAGGGGUGGGGAAGUGGCUGGGCCUGGAGAGGGGAUACGAGACAGGGUCAUCCCCAUGCUCAGGGCCAUGCCACAGUGUGCUUGGGCAGGGGGUCCCAGGCCAUCUUAGCAUCUUCCUCAUCUACUGAAGUGGAAACACGUGCCGGGCCCCACUGGGUCUAUGAGUUGAUCUCCCCUGGCCGCUCUGUGCCCACCAAAGUCCCUUAUGCCCAUGGGCCCAUAUAAAGUAGCAAAGAGUGGUAAAAAUCCACGAUGUGUACCAUAAGGUCUGAGAGAACGGUCAGGGGAGAGGCAGGGACAGAGGUGUCUGGGGGACAGGAAUCCUCCCAGGUUGAGCCCGAGGGCAGGAGCCCUCCCCAAUCCAGGUCAGCCCCGCCACCAGGUGGGGGCUGAAUACCACCGCCCCCCAUCCUCGUUCUAGCUGACUUUGGCUUAUGUAACCUGGCUAUGCUCCUUCCUUCUGGGGGCCUCAACUCCCCCUUUUGCAAACAAGAUGGGGUUAGAUCGGGCUCCCUGGAGCCCUGGGGUGGCACAGAGCUAGCAGGGCAGCUAGGCGGGGCAAAAGAAGACUGCAGAGUUGCCCUCAGCCCGGUCAGCAUCAGCAGCUCAGCUCUUUUGUGGAUACUGGACUUCCACCCAGGAUUUUGGUGGAUCCAAGGGUUCCUGGAGUAAAGGUGCCCAGGCCCCUGGGAGAGGCACUGCAGUUCAGUGGUUGGGAGGCUGGGUUCAAAUCCUCAAAUAACUUAAUCCCCUACCCACACAGAGCCUCAGUGUCAUCUGUAAAACAGGGCAGUAAGGAUCCCUGUGUCAUAGACCGUGAGGAGACGAGUUAAUGACUGUGAAGUGCUUAGAACAGCGUCUGUCACAUGCUGUGAAUUUCCUUUACCUCCCGAUCCCCAAGAGCUCACAGGAUGGGGCUCCCCACUCUGGGACCCAGGGGUGGGUGGGGGUGGAGGGGACAAAGGCAAGCAGGCUCCAUGCCUGGAAGUGAGUCGUCCUCACCAGCACUGGGGUCGGGCGGCCCGAACUCCAGGCUGUAGCGCACCACGAAAUAGUUGUUCCAGACGUACAGCUGGUUGUCGCGAGGGUUGUAGUCAACGGAGGAGAUGAACUGGUAGGGGUUGGGGAAGGUGAGGCUGACAGGCUCCUCGCGGUUGGCAUUGGUGUUGAAGGCAUAGUCCACGCGGUUGCCAGCCGCCUCGCUGUCAUCAUCCACGUACACGGAACGCAGGACGUACAGGACCCCACACACCAUGAAGGCGUUGGAUGCCGAGCGCUUGUCGUAACCCGUCUCCCACGUGCCCUCAAAGCGCAGUGUGUAGGGGUUCAGCUGGCUCACCACCAGCCGCCCGUUGUUGCCCUCAGUGGCGUAGAUGACCCACAGCCCGUUCUCGUCCACCGCCAGGUCAAUGUCGGUCUUUCCGCCCCAGCGGUAGGGCGAGGUGUCAUGGUAGUUGGCGGUAUUGAUGACCGUCUCCCCGCUCUUGAUGCGCGUCCGUAGGUCAUACUUGACGAUGUUGCGCGUGCGCUCCUUGUUGUAGAAGACGGCACCAUCGUAGACCACAAAGCCUGUGCCAUCCACGCGGUUGGGCAGGCGGUAGGUGGUGGUGUGGCGGGCGGCCACGUAGUCCUCCCACGAGGCAUACUCAGUCAGUGUGUCCGUGCGGUAGGGGAUCCAGGGCAUCACGUAGAUGCGGUCACCCGCCUGCAGCGGGUCCUUGCACCAUGCGCCAGACUGGUGCUCUGACUCGUGUGUCGAGGUGGGCUCCAGCACCUUCUGCAGGGUCCCUGGGCACACGAAGACUGGGCAGAGUGGGCGGGAGGGGAGGAGGUAGGAGAGAAGGGGCAGAGGCGAGAGGGAGGAGAGAGAGAGAGAGAGAGAGAGAGAGAGAGAGGGGGGAGAGAGGCAAGUUGGUCACGCUGCUGGUGGGGAGCCAGGUUGUCCCCUCCUGCUGCUGCAGUCACGGUUGCUUGGUAUGGCUGGUGAUGGGAAGGGGGUUUCCGGGCUGGGACCCGACCCCCUCCCCACGCCCUGCCCAGCUGCCCCUCUCCCUGGAAAUGUGAACCCUGAAGGCCAUUAAGAGCGGGGUUAGUGAGGGGAAGUGGUGCCCCUCUUCCCUUCCCUGGCUGCUAGAGACCCCACAGGCUGGGGAGGAGUUUGGCAAGAGCCCUCCCAGAGGUGGUCCUGUGUGAUUUAAGUGGGGGCAGAAUCUCCCCGCUACAGUCACUCCUGACUUUGACGGUCCAGGGACUCAGCACCCGGCCCCUUCUCCCUCUUCUCUGCCACUUAGGGAAGAGCUAGGGUCCAGGAUCCCAUCCUUCACCAACCACACCCGGACAGUGUUUUUUUUUUUAACUCCUCUUUCUUCCUCCUGCAAAAAUUGCAAGGUAGAGUGGUGUUUCCAUACCCACUGUGGGUGUCAGGAGUGUCUCCCUAUUCCAGGAUAGGGGUUUCAACUCUCUCCCCAGGUUCCUGAUGCAGCCUGCUCCCCACCCCCCACCCAGUACCCACGAAGUCAGUAGCCGAGGAAGGGAUUCCCAGAGGCAGCUCCCAGGCUAGGACGGGGAAUGAAAGAGUCUGGCCCCUCCUGGAGGGCGCCCAGCCCUGCCCCCAGCCGGCAGGGUCUCUCAUGGGGUCUGGCUCAGCAGCAGACAGUGGCACUGUGCACAGGGGUGGGGGUGGGGACAUGGAGAGGGACAGGGCUCCCGGGAGAGUUGGGGAGGGAGAGGAGAGCUGUGCAGAGGGAAGAGAGACAAGGGCGUAUGGGGCUUGGCGAGGUCCUGGCUCCGUGGGAGGCUGCGCUGCAAACCACCUGGGAAGAAAGGGUUAGUGCUGGCGGAGGAGAGAGGGGUGAGCAGAGAAUUCACUCCAAGGCCCAGGCCCGACUGAGGGUCCCUCAGGGGGGCAGUCCCAGGUCCAGCUCGGAGGGGGCAGGGGAGGGAACCAGGCGCUAGGAUAAAGACCCAGCCCGCCCCAGCCAGGCCCCCCACCUCCCCUGGCCCGGACCCCGAUUUACCUGCGACCAUCCCCGGCUCGGGAAGAGGGACCAAGGCAGCGCUGAUGUCAGAAAGGUGGGGGGCCCCGCCCCACCCCCCCAAUCCCUGAAAAGGAGGAAAACCUCAACUGCAUCUCGUUGGCCACUGCUGGCCGGCCCACCCUUGCCCAGUCACGUCCCAGCACCACCUACUCCUAACCUCCCCUUGACUGAUCCGGGGGUCAGUGUGGCCAGACACCCCACCUCCUCCCAGAGUGCGCCCCUCCAUCCAGGAUGGCCGGGCCUCCCUCACCUCCUGGCUGGCAGAACCCACACAUAGGCCAGGGCGAGGGCACAGGGCGAGGGUGGAGGGUUUGCAGUGAAUUCUCUGCUCUUGCUUGGCAUGUCACCAAAGCAGCUGGCCCCGAGGGGAUCGGGGGGCUGGGACCUGGCACCGGCUUGGGGGGCAGCCCCAGUGGCAAGAGGGGCUUGGGCUAGUCCUCAUUCCCCACCUCCAGCAGGCUUGGGAGGGAGGGGGACAGGCAGCACUCCCUUCACAGCAUGGGAACAAUGUGGCUCAGGGGCCCCCUGGCACAAAGCAGCCAGGAUGUAGUUUUUGUAGAGGGAGAGGAGCCUGGGACAUAGAGCUGGGCAGGAGCCAAAACGACCCUGGCUUGGGCCCUGGGGACUGGCCAUCCCCCUGUCCCUGAUGCCCUGAGGGGUCGGCCUGCCCACUCUGUCCAGCACACUGGCCUCUGCCCAAGCCGGUCCCCACCCCCACCAGGUGUGUGGCAUCUGAGGGGACGUGUUUGUGUGAAGGGGACGGUGGGAGGCCUCAGAGCCUAACCUGCUCAGAGGGUGUCAGGGGGGAAAAAUGUGGUUAGAGGUCAACCCAGGGGAAGGGGGAGAAGAUGAGGAAGGGUCUGUCUGGGGCCUUGGACAGCAAGGACCCUUCACCAGCACCAAACUCCCAAUCCCUCCUCUUCCCUCCCUUGCCCCGUCACCCCACCCGCCCUGCCCUGGCCCUCGAAGAGAAAAUCUCCAGUGGUGCCGCAUCCAAACCAGUGGGCCUGCAAGAAGAGUGGCUGGUGCUGGGAGGGAGAGAGACUCCAGGAGAAAGAGAG
rnacentral:lncRNA from 1 species